rnacentral:rRNA from 1 species
UUUCUUCGGAGAGUUUGAUCCUGGCUCAGGAUGAACGCUGGCGGCGUGC